GGCGGGAUUCCCGAGCGGUCAAAGGGGAUGCGCUGUAAACGCAUUGGCUCUGCCUUCCCAGGUUCGAAUCCUGGUCCCGCCA
rnacentral:tRNA from 2 species